UUAGACUUCUUCGGAAUGAAAAUAAUUGGAUUAGUGGCGGACGGGUGAGUAACACGUGAGUAACCUGCCUUACACAAGGGGAUAGCCGUUGGAAACGACGAAUAAUACCCUAUGAAACUAUCACUUCGCAUGAAGCGAUAGUCAAAGUGUUAGCGGUGUAAGAUGGACUUGCGUCUGAUUAGCUAGUUGGUGAGAAAAAAGCCCACCAAGGCAACGAUCAGUAGCCGGCUUGAGAGAGUGUACGGCCACAUUGGGACUGAGACACGGCCCAGACUCCUACGGGAGGCAGCAGUGGGGAAUUUUGCACAAUGGGGGAAACCCUGAUGCAGCGACGCCGCGUGAUUUAGAAGGCCUUCGGGUUGUAAAAAUCUUUUGUAUAGGAAGAAAAUGACAGUACUAUACGAAUAAGGUCCGGCUAAUUACGUGCCAGCAGCCGCGGUAAUACGUAAGGACCGAGCGUUGUCCGGAAUCAUUGGGCGUAAAGGGUACGUAGGCGGGUCACUAAGUUAGAAGUCAAAGGCUAUAGCUCAACUAUAGUAAGCUUCUAAAACUGGAGACCUUGAGUAAUGGAAGGGAAAGUGGAAUUCCUAGUGUAGCGGUGGAAUGCGCAGAUAUUAGGAGGAAUACCGGUGGCGAAGGCGACUUUCUGGCCAUUAACUGACGCUGAGGUACGAAAGCGUGGGUAGCAA
rnacentral:rRNA from 2 species